rnacentral:rRNA from 1 species
ACKGCUCAGUAACACGUGGCUAACCUGCCCUUGGGACAGAGACACCCCCGGGAAACUGGGGCUAAUCCCUGAUAGGUGAAGAACUCUGGAAUGAGUCUUCACCCAAAAGACGCCUAGGCCACGCUUCUAGACGUCGCCCAAGGAUGGGGCCGCGACCGAUCAGGUUGUUGGUGAGGUAACGGCCCACCAAGCCUUUUACCGGUACGGGCCGUGAGAGCGGGAGCCCGGAGAUGGGCACUGAGACAAGGGCCCAGGCCCUACGGGGCGCAGCAGUCGCGCAAACUUUGCAAUACACGAAAGUGUGACAGGGCUAUCCCGAGUGCCGUCCGCUGAGGGUGGCUUUUACCCAGUCUAGAAAGCUGGGAGAAUAAGGAGAGGGCAAGUCUGGUGUCAGCCGCCGCGGUAAUACCAGCUCUCCGAGUGGUGUGGAUGUUUAUUGGGCCUAAAGCAUCCGUAGCUGGCUGAUCAAGUCCCCUGUUAAACCCAACGAAUUAAUCGUUGGAUUGCGGGGGAUACUGCUCGGCUAGGGGACGAGAGAGGCCGACGGUAUUUUCGGGGUAGGGGUGAAAUCCUAUAAUCCCGGGAAGACCACCAGUGGCGAAGGCUGUCGGCUAGAACGCGCCCAACGGUGAGGGAUGAAAGCUGGGGGAGCGAACCGGAUUAGAUACCCGGGUAGUCCCAGCUGUAAACGAUGCAGGCUAGGUGUUUGGGCGGCCACGCGCCGCUCUAGUGCCGCAGGGAAGCUGUUAAGCCUGCCGCCUGGGGAGUACGGCCGCAAGGCUGAAACUUAAAGGAAUUGGCGGGGGAGCAC